UACGUAGGGUCCGAGCGUUGUCCGGAGUUACUGGGCGUAAAGGGCGCGCAGGCGGCGGUGCUGGCCCGGCGUGAAAGCCCCCGGCUCAACCGGGGAGGGUCGUCGGGGACCGCACCGCUUGAGGGCGGUAGGGGCUGGUGGAAUGCCUGGUGUAGUGGUGAAAUGCGUAGAGAUCAGGCGGAACACCCGUGGCGAAGGCGGCCAGCUGGGCCGACCCUGACGCUGAGGCGCGAAGGCGUGGGGAGCAAACAGG
rnacentral:rRNA from 1 species